rnacentral:lncRNA from 1 species
GGUGGGUGAGUUUUGCCAGAAAUGGCAGGGACGCAUGUUUCCACCGGAUACAAUAAUAGAAACUGUUGAAGAAUAAUGCAACUUCUCAUUAUAGAUAUCUUGUAAUAAAUGAUCAUUAAAAGUCGGUUCACAUACCAAAAAACUGAACCAAAACAAACCUAUUUAAAUUAAUUUCCGCAUCAGAAAAUAAGGCAUUUAAAAUAUAAAUUUCAACCUUUUCCAGCUGGACAAAAUAAACAGGGACCUUUGAAAUCAAGAAUGCUUGCCUGCCCACUCC